CACGUAGGCACCAAGCGUUGUCCGGAUUUAUUGGGCGUAAAGAGCUCGUAGGCGGUCUGUCGCGUCGGCUGUGAAAAUCCAGGGCUCAACCCUGGACCUGCAUUCGAUACGGGCAGACUAGAGUUCGGUAGGGGAGACUGGAAUUCCUGGUGUAGCGGUGAAAUGCGCAGAUAUCAGGAGGAACACCGGUGGCGAAGGCGGGUCUCUGGGCCGAAACUGACGCUGAGGAGCGAAAGCGUGGGGAGCAAACAGG
rnacentral:rRNA from 1 species